rnacentral:rRNA from 1 species
GUAAGAAUCUACCCCUUGGCGGGGAAUAGUCCACCGAAAGGUGGGGUAAUACCGCAUAACAUCGAAAGAUCAAAGGAUUUAACUGUCCACCAAGGGAGGAGCUUGCGGCCUAUCAGCUAGUUGGUGAGGUAAUGGCUCGCCAAGGCUACGACGGGUAGGGGGCGUGAGAGCGUGUACCCCCAGAAUGGCACUGAGACACGGGC